ACACAGUGGCGGACGGGUGAGUAACGCGUGAGAAUCUAGCUUCAGGUCUGGGACAACCACUGGAAACGGUGGCUAAUACCGGAUGUGCCGAGAGGUGAAAGGCUUGCUGCCUGAAGAUGAGCUCGCGUCUGAUUAGCUAGUUGGUGGGGUAAGAGCCUACCAAGGCGACGAUCAGUAGCUGGUCUGAGAGGAUGAUCAGCCACACUGGGACUGAGACACGGCCCAGACUCCUACGGGAGGCAGCAGUGGGGAAUUUUCCGCAAUGGGCGAAAGCCUGACGGAGCAAUACCGCGUGAGGGAGGAAGGCUCUUGGGUUGUAAACCUCUUUUCUCAGGGAAGAAAUCAAUGACGGUACCUGAGGAAUAAGCAUCGGCUAACUCCGUGCCAGCAGCCGCGGUAAUACGGAGGAUGCAAGCGUUAUCCGGAAUGAUUGGGCGUAAAGCGUCCGCAGGUGGCCAUGUAAGUCUGCUGUUAAAGAGCAAGGCUCAACCUUGUAAAGGCAGUGGAAACUACACGGCUAGAGUGCGUUCGGGGCAGAGGGAAUUCCUGGUGUAGCGGUGAAAUGCGUAGAGAUCAGGAAGAACACCGGUGGCGAAAGCGCUCUGCUAGGCCGCAACUGACACUGAGGGACGAAAGCUAGGGGAGCGAAUGGGAUUAGAUACCCCAGUAGUCCUAGCCGUGAACGAUGGAUACUAGGCGUGGCUUGUAUCGACCCGAGCCGUGCCGUAGCUAACGCGUUAAGUAUCCCGCCUGGGGAGUACGCACGCAAGUGUGAAACUC
rnacentral:rRNA from 1 species